rnacentral:rRNA from 1 species
AUUGAACGCUGGCGGCAUGCCUUACACAUGCAAGUCGAACGGUAACAGGUCUUCGGAUGCUGACGAGUGGCGAACGGGUGAGUAAUACAUCGGAACGUGCCCGAUCGUGGGGGAUAACGCAGCGAAAGCUGUGCUAAUACCGCAUACGAUCUACGGAUGAAAGCGGGGGAUCGCAAGACCUCGCGCGGACGGAGCGGCCGAUGGCAGAUUAGGUAGUUGGUGGGAUAAAAGCUUACCAAGCCGACGAUCUGUAGCUGGUCUGAGAGGACGACCAGCCACACUGGGACUGAGACACGGCCCAGACUCCUACGGGAGGCAGCAGUGGGGAAUUUUGGACAAUGGGGGAAACCCUGAUCCAGCCAUGCCGCGUGCAGGAUGAAGGCCUUCGGGUUGUAAACUGCUUUUGUACGGAACGAAAAGGUCCUUUUUAAUAAAGAGGGCU